rnacentral:lncRNA from 1 species
AUUCAAUUGGUUUGCACUAGCUCCAAAAAGUCAUACUUCCUAAAAGUUUUCCAAGUAAUUUUAGGUUAGAAAUGCCGGAGCUAGAGAUAGGAGUAGAACAAACCAUCUACAGCAAUAGAAAUCAGCCAAUGCUGUAACAGAAAUUAAAAUGUAAAGGGAUAUAACCUAUAACCUGCCCCAACACUUUGUUGAUAAGCUUCACUAAUCUAUGGAUAGAGAAAUAAGAAUUUAGGGGACAGUUUGAUAUUAUAUGUAUUUAGAAAAAUAACAGCAGUAAUUUCACUCUCUGAAGCCCGUGAGAUCCCCUACUUACCAGUUCUUGGCUGGAUUUCUAGUACCAGGCAUGUGUUUCCUCCUGUGGAGUGGGCCUUAAAUGCAAUCAGACAGUAGUUGGUUAUCACCAUGUCAUUUAUUGCACCCACAGGUCUAUCUUGCCAUGCUGGUAAUUAUUGCAUUUCACAGGGUUUGCAGCUGAGUAAAACAGUUGAAGAGUUUCCCUGACAGCAGCCUACAUAGCACCUUCUAGUACUAUAGAAGUGGACUGACAGAAAGGAAGCUUUCUAAUCAGUACCAACUUGAUUUCUUCAUGUCCUCUCACUAAGAGUGAACCUGCCUGCAUAGAGUGGACCCACCCAGACAGGAAGGACCUCCAUGAGUCUGGAAAUACCGCACUCUUUCUUCCCUCUUCGCCCUGAUCUCUGCUGAGAUUGGUGCCUACCCCAAUUGUCAUCAGAGAGGCUUCAUCCAGUAACUGAUGGAAACAGAUGCAAAGACACACAUGCAGAUGUU